AACAUGAUUGCUUGAUUACUUAGUAAGGCUGUGCUUAACUUUUAAGAAAUUUCCAAACUGUCUUCCAAAGUGGCUAUACAACUUUAAAUUUCCACCAGCAAG
rnacentral:pre_miRNA from 1 species